AAAUAAGAAAACAGUGAUGUGUGUAUAAAGAGUCUUCUAUGGAUAUGGUUAUCUCCAUCCUUUUCUGACUAAUCUUGUUCCUAAAAAUACAAAAUGAUUAAAACCAUGGAGGCAAAGCAGAACACAUGUAACGAAUAGUUAAGAUCUACAUAAAUUUAAACUUGAUCACAGCAAUUGGAAGAAUAUACCAUUUAAAUGAGUAUUUUUCAUCCGGGCUAAGUCUAAAGAUUUGGCUGAUGGCUACUACCUAAGCCAAAUAGACCUGUUUUCUGCAAAAUAAGGGAGUAGAAUUAAAAAUCAGUGUGUAAGCGGGAACUGGGGCGCUAAGAGUUAACCUCUUUCACAUGGAUCAGUCAAUCAGAAGACAUUUAUUAGUACCCACUUUGCUCGGAACCGGGGAUACUAAAAAGUGGUGGGCUUCCUUCCUAGAGUGCAGGGUCUCUUAAACUCCUGAGUUACUCAGGUCUCUGAUGAUACAGACGCAGUAGCAGUGCCAGAGUUAGAACCAAUAAAAGUAGCGGUCUGGUAGCGACAGAUCAAUUAAGGAAAUGGAAGGCACAAGAGGAGCCUUUUGCUUUGAGCACAUUUGCUCAAAUCGACACAAAAGGAACCAUUCUCGAACUCUAGAAUAUGGCAUAAUAGUCUUCCAAUGUUCAAUGGAAGCGCAGAAGGUACAGUGAUGUUUCCAGGGCACAUCGUCAACUAAUAGGUCAUCCAAAGGCUGGUGCGGCUGGGGUGCUUGAUGCCAAGCCAAGCCCAUGGCUUCCUUGCUCUGGCUGUGCGUGCUCUUCACCCAUCCUAGGAGUUCCCUGAAACUCCUGAAGUCCCCUUCUCCAAAUGGGGAACCCGACUUAGGCAGGGUUGCAGCCUUGCCGGGUACAGACCAGCUGGAGGAGAUCCAUCAGGCUUCCUGCUUCUCCCGGCUCCGUGGUUCCCAGGAUACUAUAAAAAUCUCCACCCACUUCUCCAGCGCAGCAAGCGGGUUUUACGGGAAGAGGCAAUUAAGCCUGCACCCCCAGGCUCCGACGGAAAGCAAAAGCUGCAACCUGAGGCCAUAGCCAUGCAGACCCCCCACCCCAGCAAAGGAGCUCGGCGCCCGCUCUGCAGGGAACAGGCCCGCCCCCCUGUGUGCGCAGGCGCGCGCCGCACCAGGCUCCCACGGUCGGUCGCUCGGUGCGGGCGGCAACCGCUAGCCAUGCAGGUAGGACUCCCUGGAAUCAUAGACUAGGUUUAUGAGAGUAGCCUUGUGAAACCAACAAGAUUGGGCAGAGAUGUUGAAAUGCUGGCGUAGUCCCAGCAGAGGCCUCAGCCUGAGGAGCAGGAAGCCCUGAACCUGAGAUGGCCCGGAAGAGAGCCCUCAAAUGAAGGUAAAGGCAUGGGGUCUUUCUAGCCCUCUAUGAACUAAUCAUGUAUGGCUGACCGAGGGAGAGAGCACUUGAGAGACACUUCCCGGGCCAGUUGUAGAGAGCCUGAGGCUGAUGGCUGACAGUUAUCAUUAUGUUCCAGAAGGGUCUCACUCAAUGCUUUUCUCUCAUUGACACGGGUCCCCUUUGCCCUCCCAACAUGUUUGGGUUCUCCAAGGCUCCACUCUUUUCCCUGUAGUCAUUUCUCUGUUUCAAAUACCAUCGUCACACAACAUCUUUCAAAUCCGUCCCAGCUCCAACCUCAUCCUUUAUCUUUAAAGUAUAAGCCUCAUGAGAGCCCCUUGUCUUGGUGGCACCUAUAGCCCCCAGAGUGCAGUGCAGUGUUGAGACCUGGACUUGCUGAGACCAGGCAUCUAGCUGGAUUAGAAAGGCCAUCUUCAGCUUCUUCUGAGACACCUGCUACGUGGGGCUGGUUUUUGAAACAAAGUUUUUUGAAUAAGCCACUCUUCUUGAUCUCUCCAGUAUUUGAAACAAGAGAUUUGUCUGUUUGUUUAUUUAUUUGUUUAUUUAUUUAUUUAUUUAUUUAUUUAUUUAAUGUAAGUACACUGUAGCUGUCUUCAGACACACCAGAAGAGGACAUCAGAUCCCAUUACAGAUGGUUGUGAGCCACCAUGUGGUUGCUGGGAUUUUAACUCAGGACCUCCAGAAGAGCAGUCAGUGCUCUUAACUGCUGAGCCAUCUCUCCAGCCCCAAGUAAGCCGGGCGUGGUGGCACACACCUUUAAUCCCAGCACUCAGGAGGCAGAGGCAGGGGGAUUUCUGAGUUCGAGGCCAGCCUGGUCUACAAAGUGAGUUCCAGGACAGCCAGAGCUAUGCAGAGAAACCCUGUCUCGAAAAACUACAAAAAUAAAUAAAUAAAUAAAUAAAUAAAUAAAUAAAUAAAUAUGAUGCAAAGGUGGGGGUGGGGAGAUGGCGCAGGGUUAAGAGCACUCGUUGCUCUUGCCUACCACCCAGGUUCAGUUCCCAGCACUCACAUGGUGUCUGACAAUCAUCUGGAACUUCAGUUGGGGGGGGCAGGGCUGCUUGGGGGGGGGGUGCCGCUUGGGGGGGGGGGAAUCAGAAGCCCUCUGGUGGCAUCAACAGGUACUGCAUACACGUGGUGCCCACAAACAUUCCAGCAAAAGCAACCAUACACGUAAAAUCAGAGUAAAUAUUUCUAAGUGGUACAAACUCUUCAGCCAUGAAAAGCAAAAUAAUUGGGACUGAAAUUUGGGGGAUUCUGGAUUGCAAGUUUUAAACACUCGUUUUUUUUUUUUUUUUUGACCCUGUCUACCUGUUUAUACCACAGCUUUAGACUUUUAAUGAUAGACAUCUAUAACAUAUUCUGUGUUUUAGGGAGGAAAGCCUAGGAAAUAAGUGAACAAACAAGGCGAGCAGGAGGGAAGGAGGGUGGGCACGAAACAGCAGCCAUUGCACCUGAUUUUGCAAGUAGGCAGGGUCCAUGUUACUGGCUGGAAGCUGCCAAGCUCCCUGGAGCUUCUGUCUGAAGGGAGCGAGAGGAUCCCUAUUUGUUGAAGACCUUCUGGUAUCGCUACGUCACAUCCAGCAUUUACCAAAGCCCCCCGAGGUAGGUGCCAUCAUCAUUUUUAUUUUAUUUUACACUUAAGAAUCUGGGGCUCAGAGUGGGAAAGUUACUUAUCUGCAAUCACAGGUAUUAAGUAAAUGUAGAGACGCUGAGAGACCAAUUCAAAAACUCCGUCCUAAGCUAAGCCUUACUCCUUCCUUAUCAUAUAUGCCAGACGCCGUUGCCAAGCGCUGCUAGGAGGCGCUGAGUAGCAAUCACACCACAGAAUACAAUUCCUUCUCUUCUCUUCCAUUUCUCCCCAUCCAUCCCCCAACCUCUCUGCUGGAUUUGAACACGGGAUUCAUGCUUGGCUAGUAAGUUAAAGCCCCCGGCUUCUGGAUCUUGUGUUGACUAGGUAUCAUAUACCACCCUUCUGCUAUUCAGGUAUGUGUAUGUGUUUAACAGAUGUUUCCGUGGAGGCUUUACAAACCCCCUUUCAACCGAAUCCUCCACGGCUGUGCCUGGGCUUAUAGGGAGUGGUGUAUGGGGAAACGCAAAAGGGCAGGGUCAGGGAAGAUGUCACCUUCCACAAAGACCAAUCCUGUUUGGAUGGUUCGUGAAGACUCUGAGUUCUCGAAGAUAGGGAAUGGAAGUGGAGGACCUAGAAAGAAGUGAAUUUGGACUUAGCCUGGCCCUUGUCAUUGGUCAAAGCCAGAUCUUGGCCUGAGUCAUGUAUCCUAUAAUCCAUUUCCAUACACAUAGUGUGCACACUGUUAGGGGUACCUCACACAUACCACUAUGCCCACCCUUACAAAUAAAAGGCAGGGGAGGAUGCAGGACCUGGCCAGAGUUCUAGCAAUAACCUAGGUAAAGGCCAGGAGUCACAACUGCUGCUGGCGUCCUAAAACGUCUACUCAGAGAUGAAACCUUUCUAAGCUGCUGGCUUGAGAAUGGCCAGUUUCUCCUCCAAGAAGCCCCUCCCCCUCCCUGUCCUCAUCACCCUGGUGGCUGUGUUUGGUUUGUAGACACAUCUGGAUGGAGGGGCACACUGACAUGGAGAUACUAAGGACAGUGAAAGGGUCUUCCACAGGGGAGGUCAACGUGCACCUGGUGGCCAGAGACAGCGCAGGUCCCCACCCUCAGCUGCCUACAACCGCCUUCAUUAUUCCUACCAAUGCAGCUACGCUUGGUCUGCCUAGCACUGCCCUGGAUGUGCCCUAUCCCCGGGAGCCAGUCCACGUGGGUGCCCUGGAGCGGGUGGCUGGCAGCGAACCCGUAACAGCUACUAUUCUGCCACAGCUAAGCACUGGAACGGGGACCAAUAGCACAGUCAGGCUUCUGGAUUGGACUGGCGUUUCUGCACCUUUACCUGGUAGCGGCAUGCGGUUCCGGAUAAAUGAGUACGCGCCACUGAACAUGAUAGGAGUGGAGCGACCACGAAGCCCGGAGCAGCGACAUGAGGGUGGCAUGGCCAGGAGAGAUGCGGGCAUCCAGCACCCUGAUGUUCACCAGGACCGUCAAGAUAUAACUUCUCUGGAACCCCCGGUAGAUGCGAGUUCCUGCAAGUGCCAGGCUUGUGGGCCUCAACAAAGUAGUGGCCUAGACGUUGGUUCAUCGGGAGACCGAUGCUCUCAGCCUUUCCAGAAGCGGUCAGUCAUAGUAGAGAACUCAGGCUGUACCAUCGCUUCUGAGCUCCUGAAACCCAUGAAAAAGAGGAAACAUAAGGAGUAUCAGAGCCCAUCAGAGGAGUCAGAGCCGGAGGCUGUGAAGCAAGGAGAAGGAAAAGACGCAGAGCGAGAGCCCACCCCUAGCACCCCGGAGAAUGAAGAGUGGAGCAGAAGCCAGCUGGUGUCCAGUGAGAAGAAGGACGGCUGGUCCUGGGAGUCCUACCUGGAGGAGCAGAAGGCCGUCACAGCCCCAGUUAGCCUCUUCCAGGACUCCCAGGCAGUCACCCAUAACAAGAAUGGCUUCAAACUGGGCAUGAAGCUGGAAGGCAUUGACCCCCAACACCCGUCAAUGUACUUCAUCCUCACUGUGGCUGAGGUGUGUGGCUACCGCCUGCGCCUGCACUUUGAUGGCUACUCUGAGUGCCACGACUUCUGGGUCAAUGCCAACUCCCCUGAUAUUCAUCCCGCUGGCUGGUUUGAGAAGACUGGACACAAGCUGCAGCUUCCCAAAGGUUACAAGGAAGAGGAGUUCAGCUGGAGCCAGUACCUGCGCAGCACGAAAGCUCAGGCAGCCCCCAAGCACCUGUUUGUAAGCCAGAGCCACAUGUCAUUUGGAGAAGAUGUUCGUGUUGGACAUCUUGGAAGACGAGGAGGUGCUGUUUCUUAAAGCUUUUGUCUGGUUGUGGUAACUCCCCAGCCAGUACCUUUCCCAUUCCCUGUACCCUUCAGGGAUGGAACAUAUCAGUCCCUCCUUCCCAACCAUCCCACUACUGCCCCAGCUGCCUCAGGCAAGCAUGGCAAGGCUUGUUUAGGUAGGGGAGACUUGUCCUCAGCCUGCCUGAACUUUUGGGUAAAUACAUCCUGACAGUCGCUUACCUUCUCCCACAAGUCAACAUAAGGAGAUCAUUGCCUUGGAAGGACAGGAAGUCCCUGAGCAGGCCCAGAGCAACCCUCAUUCCCGACCUAUUUCUCCCUGUGUCUAUUUCCCACUUCCAGGCAAUCCUUGUAGGGAACCCACUCCUGUGUUUACCGGGUGCUCUGGGCUAGCUCCAGCCAACCUGACCCUGGCUGGUGGCAACCCUCUUCUUGCUCCUAGAGUACUCCACCUGUGGGCUUCCAGGUGGGCAUGAAGCUGGAAGCUGUGGACCGCAUGAACCCUUCCCUCGUGUGUGUGGCCAGUGUGACCGAUGUGGUGGACAGUCGCUUCCUGGUGCACUUUGAUGACUGGGGCGAUACUUACGACUACUGGUGUGAUCCCAGCAGCCCCUACAUCCACCCAGUAGGCUGGUGCCAGAAGCAAGGAAAGCCGCUCACCCCUCCACAAGACUACCCAGACCCUGACAGCUUCUGCUGGGAGAAAUAUCUAGAAGAAACUGGGACCUCGGCUGUGCCCAAUUGGGCCUUCAAAGUGCGACCCCCUCACAGCUUCCUGGUGAACAUGAAGCUGGAGGCUGUAGACCGCCGGAACCCAGCACUGAUCCGGGUAGCCAGUGUGGAAGAUGUGGAGGAUCAUCGGAUAAAGCUCCACUUUGAUGGCUGGAGUCACAAUUAUGAUUUCUGGAUUGAUGCCGAUCACCCAGACAUCCACCCUGCAGGCUGGUGCUCCAAGACAGGACAUCCCCUGGAGCCUCCUCUCCGUGUGUACCCCCCGGGACACUCUUCUCUUUCCCUUUCUAUCAAUCUCUGACAACCCCACCAGGGCUCCAGUGCCCACAGUGAACCUGGGAUGCCUAGCCCCCUAAGUAACUCCUUAGGACUUCAUGCUACACUAAACCAAGACAUGCCCACAGCCCCAGCAAACCUUCCUUCCCCACUAAUAGCUGAUACUCAAUGGCAGCAAUGGAACAGCUUGGCUCUGUGCACAGUUCUGAGUACUCUUCCCCCUACAUGGAAACUGGCACUUCCCUGUCUCACUCCCCUGUCUCCAGGACUCUGUGCCAACUUCUCUUUCUGCCUGUGCAGGGCCCAGAGAGUCCAGCUCUGUCUCCCCUGGGGGAUGCCCCCCUCUCAGCCACAGGAGCCCACCCCACACAAAGACCUCCAAAUAUAACUUUCACCACCGGUAAGUAAAGUCACAGGUGAGGCCUAGAGGGAAGCAGGUAUCGUUCAGGUAUUUACAGCUGUGGGGUGAGACCCAUCCGCAUUCCCUAGGACCUGCACAGGGCCAAGGUUAGGGAUGCUCUGUAGAGACACUUGGGUCCACCCAACUAAAGCCUUCCUCUCCCCAGAAAGUGCCCCACUCCUGGCUGUGACGGCUCCGGCCAUGUCACUGGCAAGUUCACAGCUCACCAUUGCCUCUCUGGCUGCCCGCUGGCCGAGAAAAACCAGAGCCGGCUGAAAGCGGAACUGUCCGACUCGGAGACCGCAGCCAGGAAGAAGAACCCGUCUAAUUUGUCCCCAAGGAAAAAGCCUCGCCAUCAAGGCCGGUGCGGAGGCCAGGGAGACAGGUCCUGGGCUUCACGGGUGUGGGGCCUCAUGUCUUCCUGAGGCAGCUACUGAUCCUCUGCUGCGGGCCUGGUCCCUCUCUCUCCAGGAUUGGACGCCCUCCAAAGUAUCGCAAGAUUCCAGAAGAAGAUCUCCAAGCCCUCCCUCCCAGUGUGGUACACCAGUCCCUCUUCAUGUCCACCUUGCCGACCCACGCUGAUCGCCCACUCUCUGUGUGCUGGGAGCAACACUGCAAGCUGUUGCCAGGAGUGGCGGGCAUCUCAGCCUCCACAGUCUCUAAGUGGACCAUUGAAGAGGUCUUUGGCUUCGUUCAGACCUUGACGGGCUCUGAGGACCAAGCGCGCCUCUUCAAAGACGAGAUGAUUGACGGCGAGGCCUUCCUUUUGCUGACACAGGCGGACAUUGUGAAGAUCAUGAGUGUCAAGCUAGGCCCAGCCUUGAAGAUCUAUAACGCCAUUCUCAUGUUCAAAAACACUGACGAUGCCUUUAAGUGACUGGUUGGGGGCGGGGAAGUGGGGGCUCCUCCCAUCCUCGCGGGGCUCCCUCUGCAAAUGGUGCUUCUCUCCCAACUUGAGUUCUGCACCCCUGCCCUCACUGUCUGACUAGAUGUGCGGGAGCAGAGGAGCCUGGGGAAGCAGGUCUCAGCCCUCGGUCCUAGAGUUCAGUUGCCCCGGGGAAGGUGUGACUAAACCGAGACCUGACUGAUAUAAGGGCCGCAGGUAUCCUGGCUGGGGUAGCCUACAGCUUUAGCCACCUUGGUUAUUGUCUUAGGAAUUAGGAGGAGCUAGGUAGGGUAGGCAUCCUCUAUUCAGACCUAUGUCGCUUUUUGGCAUCUCUAUGUCCUUUCUCCUCCUUGGCCCAUCUCCUCCUACGAAGAACUGGCCAUGACCUUGGUGUGCACAUUUUACACAUGAUAGGCGCCUCCCUCCCUGUCCGCUGUUGGCUGUAUACCCUUGCUCCCCGUUCAUGGUCCAGCCAGGCCCCAUGGCUCUCUUCCCCCAUAGAUGCUUAAGACUCAGAAAUAUGGGAGCAUCUUACUAGGAGCCUCUGGCUGUCUUCUCCCUUUUGCCUCUAGGCAGAGAUUGAGAGCCCAGGCACCACCUUCCUGAACACGUUCAGUUCAAGAUCACUCGGCGUUGAAGUGGGCAGUACGGAGUGAGCAGAUGGUUAGAGCCCAUGUCCUAACAAGCAGGGCCUAAGUUCCCUGCUGCUGUCUCUAUUGGGUGUGGGGGGAGAUGAAGUCUGCCCUGGCAAGCGGUCCUGACUAGGACGUCAGACACACUGGAGGCUUUGACUAGCUCCAGAAAGCGUGAUGGCUGUAUCAUUUUCUCUGACUGUGGCUCUCAGCCAAGAUAGUGCACAUGAGGGAGAGGCCCCUGCCAGCCCAGCCUCCUGCCAGGAGGGUGUAGCACUGGCUAGCACACAACCACUAUGGCAUCACAUUCACUCUGUCCCUUAAACAUUUCUCAUUCUGCUCUCGAGUCUAAGGAAAGCCGCUUAUGGUGGAGUUGGAAAGGUCCCCUCUCCUGUCUCUGACCUCCCUGGCCCUUCUUGCCAGUCUCCAACAGUCUCUCACUGCCAGCUAGGUUCCUGCUGGGGCUCUGGAACUCGAACCUUUCUGUCCAAGUGGAGGUUCGGCCUCCACUCAAUUACUGCCAAACCCACCUCCCAGCCUAAGUGGGGAGGGAACCCAGGAGGGAGCCGCCCCUCCAAUAGGUGGGAGCAUGUGCCAGGCUUCAGUUCAUCUGGUGCUGAGGUGGACCUACAGGCUGAAGAGCAGGGUUGUCCCCCAGUCCAGUAUACUUAUAGGUUAUGUGGUAUGUGUCUUUCCGUGUGUGUGUGUGUGUGUGUGUGUGUGUGUGUGUGUGUGUGUGUGUGUAUCUUUCCAUGUGUGUGUGUACACACGUGUUGGUCACUCAGCAGUAUCUGUCAGGUGCCGGUGUGAGGUGCAGAACUGGGGAUAUGAAGGGCUACUGUUAAGCUAUGAGGCUUUAUUAUUUCCUCAGAAAUGGGAAGCCAAAAAGUCCUGUUGAUUUCCUGUUUCUGUGCUUUGGGGACCUCCCCUUCCUAGGCCAGACAGCUUCUGGGGGACAGCCAAGUGUCACCCAGCUAGCCUGGCAGAGGCUCAGGUUCCCUUUCCCUUUCAGCCCUCAGGGGUAACUUUCUGGGAGGACACUGGGCAAGGCCAGCCAAGCAGGGAGGGAGGGCUAGGUUGACCGAUAUGACAUCACUGCCCCAUUUGCUGGAAGUAAAGAGGAGCCGAACUCUCCAAUUGUGAUUGUCUGGGUUGCAGUGGAAAACUGCCACCACCUGGCCUUUAGUCCGCCCUACCACACACUGACUUGUCUGAGACGGCAGCAGAUGUUCUGUGUUCUUGACUGGAGCUGUGAACCACACAGCUACCAACGAAAGGGACCUCACAGCUUUUGCCGUGCAGCUUUGCCAGUGAUGGUUGCCUGUGGGAGAGACCAGACGGACUAACAGACAGCCUUGGAGAAGACGACUUGCAGCCUCCCAACUCUAGGCUACACACCCCUUCUGCACUAAUAUCAGAAACCAAAUCUUAAAAAGUCAAAAGAAACAUGCCUGCCAAGCAUCCCCCCCACCUGUCCACCCCACUGGGUCCCCACUGCACCCGAGCCUGGGAGCACAGGCCAUGGGUGGCUGUCUCUGGCACUUGUGCCCUGGUUUCUAGAAACAGGGACUACUUACAUUUUGUCCCCAGCAGGCUUGUCCAGCCGCUGCCCAGCCCUGGCAGUGAUGAACUUUGUUUAAUUUCUGAGACAAAGAGAAUGGUUCCGGAGUCUGAAAAUGAAACCUGUUUGCACCUCCAUUCACACGCACUGUGAUGGUGUUACUUUUGUUUACUUGCUCUGUGUGUGUGUAUGUGUGUGUGUGUGUGUCUGUGUGUGUCUGUGUGUGUGUGUGUGUAUGUGUGUGUGUAUGCUCUCAAGCAUAAAUUCUUAAAGAAAAUCCUCUGGUUUAAGCUAAAUUGACUCUUGAGAGAGGAAACGUUACAAAGAAAAUAUAGUAUGAUUUGUCUGUGUAUUGAGACAAAAUAAAUAAAUAAAUAAAUAAAUAAAUAAUUGACUAGUC